UACGAAGGGGGCUAGCGUUGCUCGGAAUUACUGGGCGUAAAGGGCGCGUAGGCGGACAGUUUAGUCAGAGGUGAAAGCCCAGGGCUCAACCUUGGAAUUGCCUUUGAUACUGGCUGUCUUGAGUUCGGGAGAGGUGAGUGGAAUGCCGAGUGUAGAGGUGAAAUUCGUAGAUAUUCGGCGGAACACCAGUGGCGAAGGCGACUCACUGGCCCGAUACUGACGCUGACGGCGCGAAAGCGAGGGGAGCAAACGGG
rnacentral:rRNA from 1 species